rnacentral:tRNA from 1 species
UGUCUGAAAGCUUUGGUUUGAUAGCAACGGAUUUUUAACCCGUGGAAGGGAUUACCCUCAGACUA